UCGGGAAUUUUGGGCAAUGGGCGAAAGCCUGACCCAGCAACGCCGCGUGAAGGAUGAAGUAUUUCGGUAUGUAAACUUCGAAAGAAUAGGAAGAAUAAAUGACGGUACUAUUUAUAAGGUCCGGCUAACUACGUGCCAGCAGCCGCGGUAAUACGUAGGGACCAAGCGUUGUUCGGAUUCAUUGGGCGUAAAGAGCUCGUAGGCCGCUCUGUAAGUCGGAAGUGAAAGACCACGGCUCAACCGUGGAAACGCUUUCGAAACUGUGGAGCUUGAGGCCGGGAGAGGAGAUCGGAAUUCCUGGUGUAGCGGUGAAAUGCGUAGAUAUCAGGAGGAACACCCGUGGCGAAGGCGGAUCUCUGGACCGGUUCUGACGCUGAGGAGCGAAAGCUAGGGGAGCAAACAGGAUUAGAUACCCACGUAGUCCCUGAGCGGGCUGGCAAGGCGCAU
rnacentral:rRNA from 1 species